UUAUCAAAAAAAAAAAAAAAAAAAAAAAAAUUGAGUUAAGACCAUCAUUAGACCCUAAAAACUACUGCAAACAUAAUGCACAUACUUAAACAGGGCUAAGAAAGCAGUAAAGCACAAAAAAUGACAAAAAACAUAAAUCACCUAAAUUCAAAAGUAAGGCAUAUUUUUUCAAAAAUUAAAAAAAAAAAAAAAAUGAGUUAAGACCAUCAUUAGACCCUAAAAACUACUGCAAAUAUAAUGCACAUACUUAAACAGGGCUAAAAAAGCAGUAAAGCACAAAAAACAAAAAACAUAAAUCACCCAAAAUCAAAAGUAAGGCUAUAACAAGGCAUAUUUUUUCAAAAAUUGAAAAAAAAAAAAUAAAAAAAAAAAAUGAGUUAAGACCAUCAUUAGACCCUAAAAACUACUGCAAACAUAAUGCACAUACUUAAACAGGGCUAAGAAAGCAGUAAAGCACAAAAAAUGACAAAAAACAUAAAUCACCUAAAUUCAAAAGUAAGGCUAUAACAAGGCAUAUUUUUAAAAAAAAUAAAAAUAAAAAAUUGAGUUAAGACCAUCAUUAGACCCUAAAAACUACUGCAAAUAUAAUGCACAUACUUAAACAGGGCUAAAAAAGCAGUAAGGCACAAAAAAUGACAAAAAACUAAAGUCACCCAAAAUCAAAAGUAAGGCUAUAACAAGGCAUAUUUUUUCAAAAAUUAAAAAAAAAAAAAAAUGAGUUAAGACCAUCAUUAGACCCUAAAAACUACUGCAAAUAUAAUGCACAUACUUAAACAGGGCUAAGAAAGCAGUAAAGCGCAAAAAAUGACAAAAAACAUAAAUCACCCAAAAUCAAAAGUAAGGCUAUAACAAGGCAUAUUUUUUCAAAAAUUAAAAAAAAAAAAAAAUUGAGUUAAGACCAUCAUUACACCCUAAAAACUACUGCAAAUAUAAUGCACAUACUUAAACAGGGCUAAGAAAGCAGUAAGGCACAAAAAAUGACAAAAAACAUAAAUCACCCAAAAUCAAAAAAAAAAAUUGAGUUAAGACCAUCAUUACACCCUAAAAACUACUGCAAAUAUAAUGCACAUACUUAAACAGGGCUAAGAAAGCAGUAAGGCACAAAAAAUGACAAAAAACAUAAAUCACCCAAAAUCAAAAGUAAGGCAUAUUUUUUCAAAAAUUAAAAAAAAAAAAAAAAAAUGAGUUAAGACCAUCAUUAGACCCUAAAAACUACUGCAAAUAUAAUGCACAUACUUAAACAGGGCUAAAAAAGCAGUAAGGCACAAAAAAUGACAAAAAACUAAAGUCACCCAAAAUCAAAAGUAAGGCUAUAACAAGGCAUAUUUUUUCAAAAAAAAAAAAAAAAAAAAAAAAAUUGAGUUUAGAC
rnacentral:lncRNA from 1 species